rnacentral:lncRNA from 10 species
ACUGACCAGGUCACCUGCAGCGCGGGCUGACGGCGGGCGACUGAAGGAGGGAGCAAGUCUCCCACCCCCAGCAGCCGGCGGCCGCUUCCGAAGUCUGCCCCCUUCCACUGCGGAGCGGCGCCCCGCGGGCCCCCAGCCAGCGCGCCCGAGGCGCCCCCGCCCCGUGUCGCUCGCGCUGCGUUAUUGGGAGAAGGCGGUUCCUGAGCACCAGCACGGGCCUCGGUGACACCGGAGGUCGCUGGGGUCUUCCCCUUCCCCUUAAGACUCUGGGUCUGUCUGUGGGAAGAGCUUUCAUUCCCCACCCCACUCUAUGCCGACCCUCUCCGGGGGAGGCUCCACUGGCACUGUAGACACCACGUGCUGGGUAAAAAGGCCUGGUCCCAGCGCUUCCCUGUCACUGACUGCUAACCACAAGGCGCCGUGGCACUCAGGAAAUGCGGCAGGGGGGCUGGAGAACUAUCAGGAAGGGGUGUGGGCAGAGAAGAGGCUUCCACCCUGUCUUGGAACACGGACACAGUCCAUGGCAUUCAAAAGAGGUGGGAGGCUCCUCUGUGCACGUGCCUUCCGCCCCCGGGACAGGUGGAGGAGGGGAUUUGACUGGUCCUCACCCUCUGCAUUUAUAGUCUGGGCACACCUUGGGCAGUGCCGCAGGAGGGCGCUGUGGAGUACAGGCACAUGCAGAAGGUGUGGCGAGGGCUUCCUGGUGGAGCUGGCAGUAGGGCAGGGACCUUGAAAAGGAAUGAUUUGAACAGAUCGGAAAAGACAUUCCAGACAGAAACAAAUGCCUGAAACCCAAACCGAGAAGCAGGAAAGAGCAGACUGCGUUCUCGGAAUGGCAGGGAGUCCAGUUUGACUGGAAGACCUGAGGCUCAGAGGCGCAUCACGGCCCAGAUGCAGACCACAGAGGCAGGCACAGUGGCCCAGGAGGACCGAGGACCUGGAGUCACGGGGUUCCGCCCGCUGCCCCUGGGGAACCGAGUCAUGCCAGUUCCCAGACAGAUGAAUUCCUUCCAAGAAUUCCACAGUCCUGCUCAAUCCUAGCCGCCAAGCCUCCUGGCCUUGGAUGGCUGCUGUCUAAUGCAGAUCCUCUUUCAUCCAGAUUUCAAAUAUUUUUCCUAUUCUGUCCUUUGAUCACUAACGUUUAUGUUUAUCUACAUCAGCAUCCCUCAAUCCUGACGGCACUCUGAAAUUAUCUAGGGGUGCUUUAAAAAAGAAAAAUGUUGAUGCAUGGCCCUCCUCCAGGAAAUCUGAUUUUAUUGGUCUGGGGUGGGGCCCAGGCAUCAGCAGACUUUUAAUGAGCAGUUAGAGAGGAGAACCACUGAUGGAGAUGGUCACCAGGGAGUGUCCAGGUCAGACCGCCACAGAAGAGUGCAGCCUCCUGGCCUUCAGACCCAACUGGGACAAACCCUGAGAACAGCCUUGGCAGACCUCCAGGGGCAGCUGGACUCCCUGAGGCUGGAUGUUGCAGCCUCUCCCAGGCAUCCACUCUGCAGCUGAGGCCAAAGUUUCCAACGGGAAGGGAGGGAGAGUCUCCGAGUCUGGGCCUUGCCACUCCUCACUCAGCAUCUGACCAUCCCCACCUCCUGGAUCUACAGGGUUCAUAGAGGAGGACCCAGAAGAGGGAAAGUCAGGCUGAGGAACUUGGCCUCCCUGCUGCAAGGGAAAUGACAUCGGUUACCAAGGAGGUGACCAGCUAUCCUUUUCCAAGACUGAAAAGCAGAAAUACGGCCCUGAGGCUAGAGGGUCUAAGAGAACAAUAGGAAGAAUUUCCUGACAAAGGACAAUGUUGCCUAAAGGACUCAGGAAGCUCUGUGAAAACAGGAGACUCCCGAGCAGAGCACCAGACCCUUCUCCACCAGGCAGUGUUUUUCCCAUAUGACAGGUGAGAAAACUGAGGCUGAGAGACAUGUAAUAACUUGCUGAAGCAGCAACCAGCACACCAUAUAGCUGAAAUCUGUAGAUCAGCAGUUAAAAGUGGUAGGGCAAGUCCUCUCUGACUUUCAGCGCUAAGAGCCUAGGAUUCUGUGUUUUUCUGCUUAAGCCUGGGAAUCAGAGUCCUACAAAAGCCGCGCCUAAUCCUGGGGGUGUGGGCUUUAAACCCAGAGAGAAAGCAUGUUAUUGGAAUACUCCUGCACUUUUCUCCCUUUGAAUCCCACCACGGAAAGAAAAUUCUGUGACGUGUACCCAGUAUUUAUUGGAGGGUAUUUCCUAGCAAGAAAAUGAGGGCGAUUGACCAGGCACGGUGGCUCACGCCUGUAAUCCCAGCACUUUGGGAGGUCAAGGUGAGUGGAUCACAUGAGGUCAGGAGUUCGAGACCAGCCUGACCAACAUGGAGAAACCCCGUCUCUACUAAAAAUACAAAAUUAGCCGGGCGUGGGGUGGCGCAUGCCUGUAAUUCCAGCUACUCCUGAGGCUGUGGCAGCAGAAUCGCUUGAACCCGGGAGACAGAGGUUGCAGUGAGUUGAGAUCAAGCCAUCGCACUCCAGCCUGGGCAACAGAGUGAGACUCUGUCAAAAAAGAAAGUGUGGUACAUCUAUACUAAUGGAGUACUAUUUAGCCGUCAAAGAAAAAAAAGAAAAGAAAAAGAAAGAGAAAGAAAGAAAGAAGGAAAGAAAGAAAGAAAAAGAAAAUGAAGGCGAUUGUCAACAGCCUCUGGAAAUACAGAGCAGGGUCCAGAAAUGGCCCCUUCUUAGAUGGCGGGCUGGACAGUGCUGCUCCUUCUUAGCCACUGGCGGCAGAAAGACAAAGCCUGGUAAUUGUUCUUGGGAUUCUCCCUGUCACCUCUCCUUGUAGGUCACAAGCUUCCUGAUGCGACAGCCCGUGGGACUACUAGAAGGAAAGAUACUCCUUUUCCCAUUUUACAGAUCAGGAAACUGAGACUGGACAGAAACACCACCAGGAUUGAACUGUGAAUGGAUCUGACUCCAACCCACAAAUUCUUCACCUGGUCUCGAAAAGAGGCCCUGGCAACCUACUGCGCACCAGAGGGGAACCCGCCCGCCGUCCCAGGCCGGGCUCUCCCUGCUGCGGAGCGGCCCGGGCGCGGCGGGACAGGGAACGGAAGGAACGGGCUUGGCGCGCACUCGCCGAGGCCCAGGCAGGAUUCGAGCGCCAGGGAGGCGCCCAUUUCCCUUCCCCCGCGCCUGGGAACGCGGUGCUGGGGGCGGGGCCCGACCGCUGCCCCCUCCAAACGCCUCGACCGCCAGGUGCCCCGAAGCCCGGCCUCCCCUCCCACCCCCGCGCCUGUUCCCGGCGCAGCCCGAGCCGUGGCAGUCACGUCUCCCCAUCCGGCCCCAAAGAACCAUGGCGCGGACGGAAAAACGAAGCCAUGGUG